rnacentral:rRNA from 1 species
GAGUUUGAUCGUGGCUCAGGACGAACGCUGGCGGCGUGCUUAACACAUGCAAGUCGAGCGGAAAGGCCCUUCGGGGUACUCGAGCGGCGAACGGGUGAGUAACACGUGAGUAACCUGCCCCAGACUUUGGGAUAACCCUCGGAAACGGGGGCUAAUACCGGAUAUGACCUGUCACCGCAUGGUGGUUGGUGGAAAGUUUUUUCGGUUUGGGAUGGGCUCGCGGCCUAUCAGCUUGUUGGUGGGGUGAUGGCCUACCAAGGCGACGACGGGUAGCCGGCCUGAGAGGGGCGACCGGCCACACUGGGACUGGAGACACGGCCCAGACUCCUACGGGAGGCGGCAGUGGGGGAAUAUUGCACAAUGGGCGGAAGCCUGAUGCAGCGACGCCGCGUGAGGGAU